rnacentral:rRNA from 1 species
CCUACGGGAGGCAGCAGUGGGGAAUAUUGCACAAUGGGGGAAACCCUGAUGCAGCGACGCCGCGUGAGCGAUGAAGUAUCUCGGUAUGUAAAGCUCUAUCAGCAGGGAAGAAAAUCACGGUACCUAACUAAGCAGCCCCGUAUAACUACGUGCCAGCAGGCGCGAGACUACGGAGGCGGCAAGCGUUAUCCGGAUUUACUGGGUGUAAAGGGAGCGUAGACGGCGGGGCAAGCCAGUUGUGAAAGUCCGGGGCUCAACCGGAGAACUGCAGUUGAAACCGGGAGGUUUGAGUGCAGGAGAGGCGGGCGGAAUUCGUGGUGUAGCGGUGAAAUGCGUAGAUAUUAGGAAGAACUCCGAUGGCGAAGGCAG